rnacentral:rRNA from 1 species
UUAAGCGACUAAGCGUACACGGUGGAUGCCCUGGCAGUCAGAGGCGAUGAAGGACGUGCUAAUCUGCGAUAAGCGUCGGUAAGGUGAUAUGAACCGUUAUAACCGGCGAUUUCCGAAUGGGGAAACCCAGUGUGAUUCGUCACACUAUCAUUAACUGAAUCCAUAGGUUAAUGAGGCGAACCGGGGGAACUGAAACAUCUAAGUACCCCGAGGAAAAGAAAUCAACCGAGAUUCCCCCAGUAGCGGCGAGCGAACGGGGAGCAGCCCAGAGCCUGAAUCAGUGUGUGUGUUAGUGGAAGCGUCUGGAAAGGCGCGCGAUACAGGGUGACAGCCCCGUACACAAAAAUGCACAUGCUGUGAGCUCGAUGAGUAGGGCGGGACACGUGGUAUCCUGUCUGAAUAUGGGGGGACCAUCCUCCAAGGCUAAAUACUCCUGACUGACCGAUAGUGAACCAGUACCGUGAGGGAAAGGCGAAAAGAACCCCGGCGAGGGGAGUGAAAAAGAACCUGAAACCGUGUACGUACAAGCAGUGGGAGCACAGAGCAAUCUGUGUGACUGCGUACCUUUUGUAUAAUGGGUCAGCGACUUAUAUUCUGUAGCAAGGUUAACCGAAUAGGGGAGCCGAAGGGAAACCGAGUCUUAACUGGGCGUUAAGUUGCAGGGUAUAGACCCGAAACCCGGUGAUCUAGCCAUGGGCAGGUUGAAGGUUGGGUAACACUAACUGGAGGACCGAACCGACUAAUGUUGAAAAAUUAGCGGAUGACUUGUGGCUGGGGGUGAAAGGCCAAUCAAACCGGGAGAUAGCUGGUUCUCCCCGAAAGCUAUUUAGGUAGCGCCUCGUGAAUUCAUCUCCGGGGGUAGAGCACUGUUUCGGCAAGGGGGUCAUCCCGACUUACCAACCCGAUGCAAACUGCGAAUACCGGAGAAUGUUAUCACGGGAGACACACGGCGGGUGCUAACGUCCGUCGUGAAGAGGGAAACAACCCAGACCGCCAGCUAAGGUCCCAAAGUCAUGGUUAAGUGGGAAACGAUGUGGGAAGGCCCAGACAGCCAGGAUGUUGGCUUAGAAGCAGCCAUCAUUUAAAGAAAGCGUAAUAGCUCACUGGUCGAGUCGGCCUGCGCGGAAGAUGUAACGGGGCUAAACCAUGCACCGAAGCUGCGGCAGCGACGCUUAUGCGUUGUUGGGUAGGGGAGCGUUCUGUAAGCCUGUGAAGGUGUACUGUGAGGUAUGCUGGAGGUAUCAGAAGUGCGAAUGCUGACAUAAGUAACGAUAAAGCGGGUGAAAAGCCCGCUCGCCGGAAGACCAAGGGUUCCUGUCCAACGUUAAUCGGGGCAGGGUGAGUCGACCCCUAAGGCGAGGCCGAAAGGCGUAGUCGAUGGGAAACAGGUUAAUAUUCCUGUACUUGGUGUUACUGCGAAGGGGGGACGGAGAAGGCUAUGUUGGCCGGGCGACGGUUGUCCCGGUUUAAGCGUGUAGGCUGGUUUUCCAGGCAAAUCCGGAAAAUCAAGGCUGAGGCGUGAUGACGAGGCACUACGGUGCUGAAGCAACAAAUGCCCUGCUUCCAGGAAAAGCCUCUAAGCAUCAGGUAACAUCAAAUCGUACCCCAAACCGACACAGGUGGUCAGGUAGAGAAUACCAAGGCGCUUGAGAGAACUCGGGUGAAGGAACUAGGCAAAAUGGUGCCGUAACUUCGGGAGAAGGCACGCUGAUAUGUAGGUGAAGUCCCUCGCGGAUGGAGCUGAAAUCAGUCGAAGAUACCAGCUGGCUGCAACUGUUUAUUAAAAACACAGCACUGUGCAAACACGAAAGUGGACGUAUACGGUGUGACGCCUGCCCGGUGCCGGAAGGUUAAUUGAUGGGGUUAGCGCAAGCGAAGCUCUUGAUCGAAGCCCCGGUAAACGGCGGCCGUAACUAUAACGGUCCUAAGGUAGCGAAAUUCCUUGUCGGGUAAGUUCCGACCUGCACGAAUGGCGUAAUGAUGGCCAGGCUGUCUCCACCCGAGACUCAGUGAAAUUGAACUCGCUGUGAAGAUGCAGUGUACCCGCGGCAAGACGGAAAGACCCCGUGAACCUUUACUAUAGCUUGACACUGAACAUUGAGCCUUGAUGUGUAGGAUAGGUGGGAGGCUUUGAAGUGUGGACGCCAGUCUGCAUGGAGCCGACCUUGAAAUACCACCCUUUAAUGUUUGAUGUUCUAACGUUGACCCGUAAUCCGGGUUGCGGACAGUGUCUGGUGGGUAGUUUGACUGGGGCGGUCUCCUCCUAAAGAGUAACGGAGGAGCACGAAGGUUGGCUAAUCCUGGUCGGACAUCAGGAGGUUAGUGCAAUGGCAUAAGCCAGCUUGACUGCGAGCGUGACGGCGCGAGCAGGUGCGAAAGCAGGUCAUAGUGAUCCGGUGGUUCUGAAUGGAAGGGCCAUCGCUCAACGGAUAAAAGGUACUCCGGGGAUAACAGGCUGAUACCGCCCAAGAGUUCAUAUCGACGGCGGUGUUUGGCACCUCGAUGUCGGCUCAUCACAUCCUGGGGCUGAAGUAGGUCCCAAGGGUAUGGCUGUUCGCCAUUUAAAGUGGUACGCGAGCUGGGUUUAGAACGUCGUGAGACAGUUCGGUCCCUAUCUGCCGUGGGCGCUGGAGAACUGAGGGGGGCUGCUCCUAGUACGAGAGGACCGGAGUGGACGCAUCACUGGUGUUCGGGUUGUCAUGCCAAUGGCACUGCCCGGUAGCUAAAUGCGGAAGAGAUAAGUGCUGAAAGCAUCUAAGCACGAAACUUGCCCCGAGAUGAGUUCUCCCUGACUCCUUGAGAGUCCUGAAGGAACGUUGAAGACGACGACGUUGAUAGGCCGGGUGUGUAAGCGCAGCGAUGCGUUGAGCUAACCGGUACUAAUGAACCGUGAGGCUUAACCU